GAAAGAAAGAAGAAGUGGAUAAGAAUGAAAGAAAGAAAGAAAUAGUAUGUAAGAGAGAAAGAGAGUUAUUAGAAAGAAAGAAAAGAAAGAAAAUAGGAAGAGGAGAGAAAAGAGAAAGGAAGAGAAGGAAUGAGAAGAAGAAGAAGAAGAAACUCAUGGAGGAACAAGAAGAUUGGUAUCAUCUUCAUCAUCACCACCAUCAUCUCAUCUUCGUCAUUACCUACUAUCUUCUUCACCAACUUCAUCAUCCUCUCCAUAGAAGGCAUUCCUUACAGGUUGAAUUCAAGAGAAGCUGUCUAUUGAUGUUUCAAGGGAUGCAGUUAUUGUGAUCUUCCACUGUGGAUUUUGUACAAUUGUAGAUAUUGUACAUAGUUCUUAGAUUUUAUUAAUAGGCUUUAUUAUAUGACAUGUCUUAUUGAUGUUUUUUUUAGUUUAGACAUGUGUAUAUAAUGAUUCCUAUAGGCUCUUAUGUUGUAUCACUACCAAAUAAUAACACUUGUAUGAUAUUAUUCUA